rnacentral:rRNA from 1 species
AUUGAACGCUGGCGGCAUGCCUUACACAUGCAAGUCGAACGGUAACAGGUCUUCGGAUGCUGACGAGUGGCGAACGGGUGAGUAAUACAUCGGAACGUGCCUAGUAGUGGGGGAUAACUACUCGAAAGAGUGGCUAAUACCGCAUGAGAUCUACGGAUGAAAGCAGGGGAUCGCAAGACCUUGUGCUACUAGAGCGGCCGAUGGCGGAUUAGGUAGUUGGUGGGAUAAAAGCUUACCAAGCCGACGAUCUGUAGCUGGUCUGAGAGGACGGUCAGCCACACUGGGACUGAGACACGGCCCAGACUCCUACGGGAGGCAGCAGUGGGGAAUUUUGGACAAUGGGCGAAAGCCUGAUCCAGCAAUGCCGCGUGCAGGAUGAAGGCCUUCGGGUUGUAAACUGCUUUUGUACGGAACGAAAAGCCCCGGGUUAAUACCCUGGGGUCAUGACGGUACCGUAAGAAUAAGCACCGGCUAACUACGUGCCAGCCGCCGCAGUAA